rnacentral:rRNA from 1 species
CCAAUAGCGUAUAUUAAAGUUGUUGCAGUUAAAAAGCUCGUAGUUGAAUUUCGGGACUAAUAUGUCGGUCGUGCCUCGGUACGUACUGGUCUCACUGAUUCCUCCUUCCUGAUGAGCUGUAAUGCCAUUAAUUUGGUGUUGCGGGGAAUCUGGACUGUUACUUUGAAAAAAUUAGAGUGUUUAAAGCAGGCUAACGCUUGAAUACAUUAGCAUGGAAUAAUGAAAUAGGACGUUCGAUCCUAUUUUGUUGGUUUCUAGGAUUGACGUAAUGAUUAAUAGGGAUAGUUGGGGGCAUUAGUAUUCAAUUGUCAGAGGUGAAAUUCUUGGAUUUAUUGAAGACUAACUACUGCGAAAGCAUUUGCCAAGGAUGUUUUCAUUAAUCAAGAACGAAAGUUAGGGGAUCGAAGACGAUCAGAUACCGUCGUAGUCUUAACCAUAAACUAUGCCGACUAGGGAUCGGAUGAUGUUAAUUUUUUAAUGACUCAUUCGGCGCCUUACG